AUGGUGGCCGGGCCAGGUGGGUGACUUGUGCCAUCAUUUGGGCUGUGGUUGCUGUUAGCAACUGUGCUUCAAGUGAUGUCUACCUUUGGGGCAGAGUUUUCAUCGGAGUCAUGCAGAGAGCUGGGUUUUUCCAGCAACUUGCUCUGCAGCUCUUGUGAACGUCACAGACAGUUUAACCUGCUCCACCUAGAUCCUGAUUGCAGGGGAUGCUGUCAGGAGGAAGCACAAGUUGAAACCAAAAAGCUGUAUGCAGGAGCUAUUCUUGAAGUCUGUGGAUGAAAAUUGGGACAAUUCCCUCAAUCCAUUCUUUCGUCAGGAGUGAUAAAAACGAACUAUUCAGAGGACUGCAAAUCAAGUAUUCGUGGAUCAGACCCUGUGUUAAAGCUUUUGGAUAACUAUAGGAACGUCAUUGAAGAGCUCAGCAUCCUCAAAUGGAACACAGUUUAGAAGAAUUCCUGAGUGAAAAGUUGGCGUGCAUAUAUAUCUUGCUUAAAUUGUGUCCUAUCCUUUUGUUAUCUUAUCAAAUGAAAUAUUACAGCACCUAGAAAAUAAUUUAGUUUUGUUUGCUUCCAUUUUUGAUCAGUCUUUUACUCUGAGGCAUUAAACAUUUAAUUAGGUCUUGAAGUAGCAGCACAGUCCAUGAUAUCUAAGGAGACAGCAAGCUUAACAAAACUCA